UACGAAGGGGGCUAGCGUUGCUCGGAAUCACUGGGCGUAAAGGGCGCGUAGGCGGCCGAUCAAGUCAGGGGUGAAAGCCUGUGGCUCAACCACAGAAUUGCCUUUGAUACUGUUCGGCUCGAGACCGGAAGAGGUAAGUGGAACUGCGAGUGUAGAGGUGAAAUUCGUAGAUAUUCGCAAGAACACCAGUGGCGAAGGCGGCUUACUGGUCCGGUUCUGACGCUGAGGCGCGAAAGCGUGGGGAGCAAACAGGG
rnacentral:rRNA from 1 species